UAAUUGUGCAGGCUGAACCUUACUCCAUGGUUUUGUGGUCUCCAGGUGUGAAAAAAUCAAUUAUUCCUAGCAAAGUAGGUCAGAGAAAUGGGAGAAAAGGACGGGAAAUGAAUGAGAGCAUGCAAGAGUCUUGCUUCUAUUUUUUUGAUCACCAAUUCUCUGGCUUUUUUCUUCCUCAUAUCUUACCUCCCUUGGUUAGGAACACAAUCCACACUUGGUUUCACUGUGGAGAAGACUCAAGAAAAGGGAAAACAUAUUUUGGCUACUGUUUGUCAAGUUAUUCAGUAUUGAAUAUACUUAACAUAUACCCAAACUGCAGAUCACAAAAAACACAAACAAGCAACAAUAAAAAACACCAACAAAUAUCUGUAAAAACAAGCAAGUGCUAGUACAAAGAAAAGUGAUAUAAAUCGAGAGGGAAAAUGAUCCUGCUUUCUCUACUUGGCUUGUGUUCACCAAACUCUGUCUUUGCUGACUCUGAAGCUUCUUUCAUUUUAAGCUUAUAAUUCUUAUAGGUUUAGUCCAAGUAUGCAAUUACCCUUGGCUGUGAGAGGUGGCUGAGCAGUUAGACAAAUGCUACUAAAUAGGAUGAAAGGUGAACUUGCACUUAAAAAGUUAGGUUGGAAUCUAAAGCAUACAAUUCAGUCUUCUGGGAGGUUAUAGUAUAGUACUAAUGAAUAUAUUUUGGGAAAUAAAUUUGAUGCAAGUUUUAAAUAAACCAGACUUGACUUCUAUAAUAAAUUUAGAAACUCUUUUACCAAAGGUCCUCAUUGCAGGUUUUGGGGAUAAAGGGUAGAGUGCUAUAAAUCUAUUAUUUAAAGAAAACUAAAAUGAAUUCUAGAUGUUUCUGAUUAACAGUAAGCCUCUAUUUUCCCUGCAUAACAUAUUUGACCCUUGGCCCAUCAGAACCGUAGCUGCACUGAUGUAUUAGAGACCAUUACACACGUGAAUUUACUUGGUUUAGCAGGAAGCCUAUAUGACUGUUUAAAUAUUUGCUAUAUUGUUGUACCAAAAUACAAUUCUGUGUCUACUGCUCAUUGUAGUCUAUCCAAAGGCAACUGGGCAGCAGUAUUCUGAAAUACGUACACCAAAAAUACACCACGUACAAUUCAUCAAGUUAACAUAACCCAAUGAUAAUCUGUGUGUGUGUGUGUGUGUGCAUGUGUGUGUUUGUAUUUCCUGCUAAUAGUAUGCAGUUUGCUUCCCUAAACAUCAAAGAUGCUUCAGAAAGAAUAUUCUCUAACAUCUUUUUCUAUCUUUUCUAUUCAGGAAUUUUACUCUUCCAUAUCUGGCCAUGACCUUAGUCUCGAACACUCUUUUGAAAGUGUACAGAUGUCUAUGCAAAACAAUAGAAGGAUAUGGUGUAGCUCACACACAUAGGCUCUGAUAUAGCUUUAAUAAUUUCCCCUCAUAUUUCAAAUAUUCUGAAAUCAUGUAUCAUCUUUUUCAAAGACUGAAAUAGGUUAUUUGCAUAUGGAAGAGUGAUAAAUUUUUUUUUGAUAAAGAAAAUGUGGCUAGUUCAUAAUUGCUUUUAGGCCUUAUAAUCAAAAAAUUAAAAAUUAGGAUAUUGUUUGAGACCCGUUUACUAUGAAAUAAAAUUCUAAAUAUAGAUGUGCUGGGGGUAAAAAAUCUUGACAAUGUAAGGGCUAUUUACAUGGCAGAAAGAAAAGGAAGAAGGUAUAUCAAGAAUAGCCUGCACUGAAACAUGAAAACAUAUUAAGUAGAGGGCCCCAGAGUAUCCAACGUUUUUAAGGUAAAGAUUGAUCAAGGUGAAAAAAACAAAACAAAACUCAGUCUCUUAUCUUUUUGGGAUAAUCUUCAAGAUAUUUAGAUAAAGUAGAAGAGUUAGAUGAGUGCUUACAAAUACAAUGUGGCACUCUAAAGCAAUAUAAUUUUAAAAUAUUGUGUUCAACUACUUAUUUGUUGUUUCAGCUUGUUUUAAUAAUAAUCUUGAAAAUAAUGAUAGCAUUAACUAUCACAGACAUAGCAUGUGAAUGCUGGGUAAGCAGUCAUACUCUGCUAAGAAGCUGUCUGUUUCUCUUAAAUAUAGUAGCACAGAAUCAAAUAUCUUAUAAAACUUAUCCUGAAAUUACAUAUGCAUCAUUAUAUUUGAUUAGAAUGUAUUCUGUACAACAGCUACUUCUGAUAAAAAUGAAUCUAAAAAGUUACCUUCCAAAAAUCAAGGUCCCUGCGAUUCUUUCUCUUCUUUUGCAAGAAGAAAUGUGAAUUCCUAAAAGCUCUGUAUAUAUUAGAUAGGAAGCAGCUGGGACACCACUGUCUUCUCAUGCUCCAUCGGGAUACAGAACAAGAUACAUCUGGCUGUAUGAGAGAAAAAAGAAAUCUUCUAGAAUUAAUGUAGCACACUGUCAAUUAGGAUCCAAAUUUAGAUACUGAAUGAAGCCUUCUCAAAACACAUACCAGUUCACAUCCUUCUGUUUCUUAAACUGCUGCCAACAGAACUUCCGAAAUUUCAACCUUGAGAAAACUAUAUAAAUUGUAUGUAAAAUUAUAUAAUUAAAUUUUAUAAUAUGUUUAGCAGGAAAAUGUAAAACUGCUGUUCAUUUUUUGUUUUGCCCAGGAUUAAGAAAAAAGAAAAAUAGAGAGGAACUUGCUGCAAGGCAGACAAUAAAUGAAGCUAUUUUAAUGAAAGCACAUAAUAUUGGAAAACUCUUUGUUUUGUAAAUUUUGUUCUAUGCAGAAAAUGAGCACAUCUAUCUGUCCCUUGCACCAAAAACAGAAAGGAAGGCCUAUGAAAAUCAGACCAUGAAGUCUUAUUUUUCAUUCUUUGGUCUAGUAAUUUAAUUUCAUUUUCCAGAUUAUUAAUGCUGCAGUUUAUUAUAUAUUUGAUGCUGAAUUGCUGAAUUUGACUUGUCCAAAUGACAUCAAUCCUGCCUUUAUCUCAUUGCCAGAAGUAGUGAAUAUAUUGCUUUUUAUCCUGGUGAAAGGGAAGAUUCAAAGUUGUUUGAAGGAGAGGGGCUGAUCUGUGUGGUGGCAGUAGAACAUAUUCUGAUUGAUGUCCUCUAACCUUGCAAACUUGCCAGAGCAUCCACCUAGUUCAACCCUAGUUCAGUUAUCAUGGUGGAAACCCAUUAUGGGCACUCUUAGCAACUAUUGUGCCUAUAUAUUAAUAAGUCUACUGAAUAACAAUUAGUUCAUCCCCUUACUUCUUCAGCCCUUACUUCCACAUUGAAAGAAGUAAAAAGUAGAACUCACCAAUUGCUAUUUAAGCACAUUUGCUAGUUUUGUAAAGUCUAUAGACUUCUAAGAGGAAUAUAUGAAACCUCAAGUAAAUAUAUUAAAACAUGCACAAAAUAAAUAUAUUUAUGAUAUAUACUUUUUAUUGUAACUAUCAAAUUUUAAUCAAAAAAUUUGUAAUGCUAGGGAAAUCUCAGGUUUUACUAAUGGAAUUAUGAAAAAAUAUUAAUCUUAAUACAAUUUGUAAAAUGCCUUAAAAGUUAGAUGUUGAAAUGGACUUCCAGGUCCUGUAGCUACUUCUAUUGAAAUUAUCAUCAUAAUGUUUUACAAAAUGAGAAAAGUAAUACAGUUUCUCUUUCCAGUUGCCCUGAAGCAGACUAACUGAUGCUUGUAAAGAUGUUUCUCAGCAUAAAUGGAUUGUUAGAGAAUGAACUUCAGUUAAUUUUGACCUUAAAAAAAAGUCACGUAGAUAUGUAUUUUCAUCUGAAACAUUUUCAAGAGUCUUGCAAACAAGUCACUCUAAAAUAAUUUAUGACAAUGUUUAUGUGCUCAAUUACAUUUUGGUUUUUCAAUACAUAUUCUUACCUUAAGUGAAAGUAGAUUGUAUCCCUGGUUUUCAUUUUUCAGCACAUUUUCAAGUUUUCUAAGAGAAGUACAAAAUCAUAAUCUGUCACUACAUAACAUGUCACUACAUGUUCAACAUUUGUAAAACUCAAUUUAUUAUAAAUCCUGAGUUAUUAGUAACUGUUAUUUGAAAGCCAUUUUAGUAAUCAUAGAAAGCACUAAUAUUAAGGAGUAAAAAAUCAACAAUUAAUAUCAGAAAUAAACCAUGAGCUCUUAGAAACUAGUGGGAUACCAUUAGGCAUUCAUAAGAUAUAAUAAUUCAAAAGUAAAAAUUAUAUGCUUUGUAGCUCAAAAGUGCUUUCACCUAUUUUCUCAUUUGUGUAGCCUUGAAAUAGUGGUAGAUGAGUAUUUCAAAUUCAAGCAUCAGAUAUUUCAUAAAUACUGCAUAUGCCUGUGUGUGGAAUUAUUGAUGUUUUGAACCUAUAAACAGGAUAGAAAGGAAGAGAUGGUCAGGAAACAAUACUGGAGAAGAAAAAGAGGUAAAUGGUAAAAGCAGAAAAAAUGAUUAGAUUAUGUUUAUUUUAGAAUAGAUUCAUUUAGUGAAUAUGAAUUGAGGAACCUACUUAAUGCCAGGCACUAUUUGCAGCUCUGGAUGUACAGCAAUGAACAAAACUUUUAAGUCAUGCCCACAAGAUAAAGUGACCAACUCAUCUCAGUUUGCACAGAUGUUCCUGGUUUUAGUACUGAAAGCCCUGCAUUCCAGAAACCCCUUAGUCGAGGGCAAAUCAAGACGGUUGCUCACCAUUAUCAGAACCUCACUUUCUGGUAACUGUCAUCUUGAUUUCCAAAUUCAUAUUAAUAUUUUUAUCUCAUUGUUAAUGACAAUGCAAGUUAGCACUGACCACAAGUAACCAAUGGCUAGUAUACCUGUUUCUAACUGGGGCAAAGUUAUGACAAGAGCAAAUUAUAGUAAUAUCAAACUUCCUAGAAUUAUUUCUAGACAACACUCCUUGGAGUGCAACUGAAGUAUCAAAAGUACAACUUGCCCUCAAGGAAGAGUUAGUGUCUGGGAAUGUGAACGAACAAUCAUAACCACCAUUUGCAAGACACCUACGUAUAUCAUCUCUAGUUCUUACAAAGCCCUCUAAGGUAGUAUCAUCAUCUCCGUUGCAAGGAUAAAGACUUUGAGAGUAAACUCUCCCAUACACAAUAAUGAGAAAGAAAACCCAAGGUAAAAGAAGAGAAUUGGAGCUUUCAGAUGGCUAUAGCAAGUCUUGUAUAAGCAAUAGCAUUUAUUUUUCAGAACAGAAAACUAUUAAUGCUCUCAGUGUAUUUUACUUCUUGUGUUCUAUUGGAUUAUAUUUUCCUGGAAACUGGCUUCUCUUUGGGGUCACAUUUUGGUAAUCAAUGUUAGUCUUAUUCUUGUUCAGUCAAGUUUACUAAUGAAAUGGAUAGGACAGUACCUUUGAAGCACUGACUUGGUUAAUGUGGCAAUGUUUGAACUAUUUUUAUAUUGACUAUUAUUGAAUUUCGUAGAGGAACUUCAAAUUGAAGACGUUAUGGAUCAGCCAGCAUUCAAAGAUGAAAAUAAAUCAAU
rnacentral:lncRNA from 1 species